UGCAAGUCGAACGAGAGAGAAGGAGCUUGCUUCUUCGAUCGAGUGGCGAACGGGUGAGUAACGCGUGAGGAACCUGCCUCAAAGAGGGGGACAACAGUUGGAAGCGACUGCUAAUACCGCAUAAGCCCACGGGUCGGCAUCGACCUGAGGGAAAAGGAGUGAUCCGCUUUGAGAUGGCCUCGCGUCCGAUUAGCUAGUUGGUGAGGUAAUGGCCCACCAAGGCGACGAUCGGUAGCCGGACUGAGAGGUUGAACGGCCACAUUGGGACUGAGACACGGCCCAGACUCCUACGGGAGGCAGCAGUGGGGAAUAUUGCACAAUGGGGGAAACCCUGAUGCAGCGACGCCGCGUGGAGGAAGAAGGUCUUCGGAUUGUAAACUCCUGUUGUUGAGGAAGAUAAUGACGGUACUCAACAAGGAAGUGACGGCUAACUACGUGCCAGCAGCCGCGGUAAAACGUAGGUCACAAGCGUUGUCCGGAAUUACUGGGUGUAAAGGGAGCGCAGGCGGGAAGACAAGUUGGAAGUGAAAUCUAUGGGCUCAACCCAUAAACUGCUUUCAAAACUGUUUUUCUUGAGUAGUGCAGAGGUAGGCGGAAUUCCCGGUGUAGCGGUGGAAUGCGUAGAUAUCGGGAGGAACACCAGUGGCGAAGGCGGCCUACUGGGCACCAACUGACGCUGAGGCUCGAAAGUGUGGGUAGCAAACAGGAUUAGAUACCCUGG
rnacentral:rRNA from 1 species